CUACGGGAGGCAGCAGUGGGGAAUUUUGCGCAAUGGGGGAAACCCUGACGCAGCCACGCCGCGUGAGUGAUGAAGGCUUUCGGGUCGUAAAGCUCUGUCAGAGGGGAAGAAACUCCUGUGGUCGAAUAGGCCCCGGUACUGACGGUACCCUCAAAGGAAGCACCGGCUAACUCCGUGCCAGCAGCCGCGGUAAUACGGAGGGUGCAAGCGUUGUUCGGAAUUAUUGGGCGUAAAGCGCGUGUAGGCGGUCUGUUAAGUCUGAUGUGAAAGCCCCGGGCUCAACCCGGGAAGUGCAUUGGAUACUGGCAGACUUGAGUACGGGAGAGGGGAGUGGAAUUCCGAGUGUAGGGGUGAAAUCCGUAGAUAUUCGGAGGAACACCGGUGGCGAAGGCGGCUUCCUGGACCGAUACUGACGCUGAGACGCGAAAGCGUGGGGAGCAAACAGGAUUAGAUACCCUGGUAGUCCACGCCGUAAACGAUGGGUACUAGGUGUCGCGGGUAUUGACCCCUGCGGUGCCGAAGCUAACGCAUUAAGUA
rnacentral:rRNA from 1 species